CUCCCGCGCGCUUCCCUCUUUCUCCCCUUGCCGAACCCGACGCCGUGCCCUAACCUCCUCAUGGUCGUUCCUUCUUCUUCCUCACCCUCUGCCCCUCACGGCGACGACAUCCUCUGCCCUAGGAUCUCCAUCGCCGCCUUUUCUCUGCCCUAGCCGACGCCACCAUCGCCCGAUCCCCUUCCUCGCCUUCCCUCCCUCUCGGCGUCGAACACCUCUUCGGCUCUUCCACCCGACGACGCUAGGGAACAUAGAGCGGGCGACUGAGCAUCUCCUCUUUCCCCAUCGCGAUCUUCUUCUUUCCCCUAUUGCGCCGAUCAGGGGCGACUGGCAUCGCGCUGACGCUGUGAGAGCCAUCGCCGGCCGAUUUUCACCUUUCCUUCUUGCUUUACUGGUUGCCACAGCCGAUCGCCUCUUCCUUCACCCUUCCCGAUUCCUUUCCUCCUUCUCGAGCCGCACUAGGUGCCGCCACUUUGCCCUAGCCGUUGUAGUGAGGGGGAAACUGGCUGAUCUCCACCGGAUCGCUGGUGCCAGCCAAGGUGUAGCCGACGGUCGCCACUUUUCCGACCACAAGAAGAUUGUAUGGAAGCUUCCGGCUGUGUAGAAGCUUACUGCCAUCGCCAACCUAGGGUUUCCGACGGCAAGAUAUAGGUGGAUUUCCAGCAACUACUAAAUUGCGGCGGCUGCCCUACCUGGCUGAGGAUCGACAGGAGAGGUUUUGUGUGAGUUGUUAGCUGAUCAUUGGGGAAUUCUGUCAUUGUUGAUUUCUGCAGCAGCAACUCCUAGUUCCGGUCACUAUAGCCCCAAGGAUUUUGACGCGAGACGAGUAUCUCGAUUAUCGGAUUGGACCUUUUCGAUCGGAGGCGGGUACC